UGGCAAUGAUGACUAUCUUAGGACACCUUUGGAUUUAAACAUGAAACAAAUAUUUAAUCUGAGCCAC